rnacentral:tRNA from 1 species
GCCUGGGUGGCUCAGUCGGUUAAGUGCCUGACUUCAGCUCAGGUCAUGAUCUCACGGUUCAUGGGUUUGAGCCCCACGUCAGGCU